UGGGGAAUAUUGCGCAAUGGGCGAAAGCCUGACGCAGCCACGCCGCGUGAGUGAUGAAGGCCUUCGGGUUGUAAAGCUCUGUCGGGAGGGAAGAAGGCGUAAGCCUGACGGUACCUCGCAAGAAAGCACCGGCUAACUCUGUGCCAGCAGCCGCGGUAAUACAGAGGGUGCAAGCGUUGCUCGGAUUUACUGGGCGUAAAGCGUACGCAGACGGCCACGCAGGUCGGGUGUGAAAGCCCAGGGCUCAACC
rnacentral:rRNA from 1 species